GACGAACGCUGGCGGCGUGCUUAACACAUGCAAGUCGAACGGAAAGGCCCUGCUUUUGUGGGGUUCUCGAGUGGCGAACGGGUGAGUAACACGUGAGUAACCUGCCCUGGACUUUGGGAUAACUUCAGGAAACUGGUGCUAAUACCGGAUAGGAGCUGCUGCUGCAUGGUGGGGGUUGGAAAUUUUCGGCGGUUGGGGAUGGACUCGCGGCUUAUCAGCUUGUUGGUUGGGUAGUGGCUUACCAAGGCUUUGACGGGUAGCCGGCCUGAGAGGGUGACCGGCCACAUUGGGACUGAGAUACGGCCCAGACUCCUACGGGAGGCAGCAGGGGGGAAUAUUGCACAAUGGGCGGAAGCGUGAUGAAGAAACGCCGCGUGCGGGAUGGCGGCCUUCGGGUUGUAAACCGCUUUCGCCUGUGACGAAGCGUGAGUGACGGUAAUGGGUAAAGAAGCACCGGCUAACUACGUG
rnacentral:rRNA from 1 species